rnacentral:rRNA from 1 species
AGAAUCAACGCUGGCGGCGUGCCUAAACACAUGCAAGUCGAACCGAGGAAAGUGGAGCAAUCCAUGAGUAAAGUGGCGUCACGGGUGAGUAACACGUGACUAACCUACCCUUGAGUGGGGAUAACCUAGGGAAACCUGGGCUAAUACCGCAUAAUACCUUCGGGUCAAAGGAGCAAUUCGCUUAAGGAGGGGGUCGCGGCCGAUUAGUUAGUUGGCGGGGUAAUGGCCCACCAAGACUGUGAUCGGUAU